UGCGUCGUGACCUGGGAAUAGCAUUAAGUUGUACGUAAGCGAAGUUCUGCGAAAUGAUCGACGAGAUAUUGGUUAUUUCGUCGAAUUUCUCUUACUUCACUGGGAGUUGUAUUGGAUUUUGCUCAAUGUCACUGCCGAAAAGGUCAACCCACGUCGUAUUUAAUCCCAGAGAGUCAAGCGAAAAGGCAGUUAAGAAGGUGACACCAUGAAGGUCUCUCUUAUUUUAUUUGUAGCCUUCAUUAUCAUGGCCUCCUGCAGCAGCUUCGCAAUAGGCUGCAGCUGUGACAAAGACGGAUGCGACCACCAUACUGUUAUCCAAGGGGGUAUCACGUGCAUUGGAGACGGCUGCACCGUAAAGAAGGAGGGGAGUCGCAGCUGCUGCACGAAAGGAUAAUGUGGACAAGGUCGUGGACGAAAGUUCUUCAACAGAAGAGUCAAUAGUGUUAAAGGAAACACAUUUCCAACUCCUCCUCAUAGAAUACAGACUCCUCCCCAUAGACGAAAAUCUCGCAUAUCCGAAAACAAGGAAUAUUAAACAUGGAUUGGUAUAUCCAGUUCCAUCAGAUAAUGUUUCAA